rnacentral:lncRNA from 1 species
GCAGAAACUGGAGCUCCCUUUGAAGCCAGACUGCCUUUAUUCUUCACCUAACUCGGUGCUCUGUUGGACAGGAGCAUUCGUAUUGAAGUCUGCUUAGUGGCUGCCACCCAGAAUCCAGUGAGGCUGUUUGCCAGGUGGGAAAAAGCAGUUGGGGGGUGAGUUUCAGGCAGAGGAAGGAGGGGAGGAUCUGCCUGCACAUUAAAGCACAAAAUAAGACACUGUGAGAGGUGGCUGGGGCGGGUGAGCUCAUAGCAGUGCCCUAGGGUGGGAAAGGAGGGAAGAAAAGCAAGUCAGGUAUUUCACUGGACUAUAAAAAGGACAGGGAAGAAAAGAGUGAAAGCGUACUUAUAUACAGAAUGCAAUUAUGAAUCAGCCCCUUAAAAUACCACGAGACUAGCAAUGGGCUUAGUAUAGUACAACACUAGCUUCUAGAGUUUUCCCAAAACACAUUUCAAUUUCAUUUUUUAAAGUUUAUUUUCAAAAUUUUCAUUUAGAAAAGACUCUAAAUGUGUUAAUUACUAUUAUCAUGCAUUGAAAUAAUAGAUUUUCAUCUCAUUCAAAGUUAGCUUUCAAAGCCAGCAAAUAUUGCUUAAAAUGGCUUGAAUAUCUUAAAUUUCUUUUAUUUAUACCUGCACCUGCAUGGUAAUGCUUUCUUAUAAGUUUUCCCUCCUUUCAGGGAAACCUGAGGCCUCGUGCAUGUUAGGUGAUCUGUCACUGAGCCCAGCCCCAGCCCUUGCAGGAUGAUUCCUAUCCACGGUGGUGUUGGAGAACCACUGACUAAAAGAAGAAACAAACAAAAGGAUUAUGUCAUAUGUGACUUUUCCUGCGGUUAUACUAUCAACCCCAGCUGCACACAGGUCCUGGUCUCACUAGCCAAACUCCAGCAAUUACAAUGA